rnacentral:misc_RNA from 1 species
UACGAAGGUCCCGAGCGUUGUUCGGAAUCACUGGGCGUAAAGGGAGCGUAGGCGGUGCGGUAAGUCAGGUGUGAAAUCCCGGGGCUCAACCCCGGAACGGCACCCGAUACUGCCGCGCUUGAGUCAUGGAGGGGUAGCUGGAAUUCUCGGUGUAGCAGUGAAAUGCGUGGAUAUCGAGAGGAACACUCGCGGCGAAGGCGAGCUACUGGACAUGUACUGACGCUGAGGCUCGAAGGCCGGGGUAGCGAAAGGG